GACGAACGCUGGCGGCGUGCUUAACACAUGCAAGUCGAACGAAGUGGCGAACGGGUGCGUAACGCGUACUCAACCUGCCCUUCAGAGGGGGACAACAGUUGGAAACGACUGCUAAUACCGCAUACUGAAGGAGGGGAUUGCGUCUGCUGUGCUAUUUGGCUGGGUAACGGCACACCAAGGCGAGGAUCAGUAGCCGGUCUGGGAGGAUGAACGGCCAAAGUGGGACUGAGACAAGGCCCAGACUCCUACGGGAGGCAGCAGUGGGGAAUCUUCCGCAAUGGACGAAAGUCUGACGGAGCAACGCCGCGGGAGUGAUGACGGCCUUCGGGUUGUAAAGCUCUGUUAAUCGGGACGCGGUACCGGAAUAGAAAGCCACGGCUAACUACGUGCCAGCAGCCGCGGUAAUAC
rnacentral:rRNA from 1 species